AUGCUAGAGAGCUCUUGGAAUGAUCAGAUGAAUGUCCAAGGAAAGCUCUCUAGAUCACUACACAACAUCCUAUACUGGUCAUGAUGAUGGGUAGAUGUCCCCUGAGUGAUAUGGGUCGAGCAUAGAGUGCCCAUGCCCCAUUAAUUGGUUGUUGGUCGUUCAAAGGGUCCAAAGGUCAAGUAGUUACAAUGUUUCUGCAUCUGGGCGUCCCACGCGGCCCGCAUGGGAGUUCCAUGCCAUUUUAAUGCGGGUCGCCUAGGAUUUGAAUAUCAGACGCGUAAUACAGGAGGCUCGCGGCCCGCCUCAACUUAACCAUAACCUUCACGCGGGUCGCGAGAGGUUAAGAUUUCAGAAAUUUUAAAUCUUUUGUCAUGAUUGCGAAAUCCUGGUAAUUAAUAACGAAAUCUUUCGUAAUGAUUUACCUGACCUUUCGGGUUUGAAAGGGUAACUUUGCGGUUUGGCCCUCGGUUAUUUACCGAUAGGGGCCUCGUGUUAUUUACCCGCGUUGUUAAGUCCCCGGUUUAUUUAUUAAUUAUUCAGAAAGCCUUAACUUCUGUUAUUGACGCUUUUAACCCUUCUCAUACGAAUCUGAGUAUAACUCUCUCGUUUUAAGACGGAACUUCGCGGAAUUUAUACAGUAUAUUCUAGUGAGCGUAUAAUACUGUUACGAAGUCUUGGGAACGUUAAAGGGUCACUCAGAGGUAUAAUUAAACAUGUUGACACAGUUAACCCCUGUAGUUCGUAAUCUCUCACUUUCUUCCGCGUUUCGCUUCCGUUCGAUUUAUGAUUUAUUCGUUUGAAGGUACAAGCGUUAUUUAGGGUUACUAUACAGUAUAUUUACCCUUGUUGACAUUUAUAACCCUCGAAUUUAUAUACUUUCAAGGUUUGUCAAAAUCAGUCCUUUAUUUAAUAUCAAUGCCACGUGUAAACAAAUGACACGUGUUAACACAUUAUUGGACACAAAAAUUCGAGGUGUUACAUCUAGCGAACAAAUCGAAUAAGAAUAAGCUACCAUCCGUUUUUAAACGGGUGAUUUUGAAUGCUCUAAUAAAUGCUAGAAGCUUAAUCCGUUAUACGGAUUGAAAGAAGAAGUUAUGAUUAAAAGCGAAAGACCCAGUUAUUUGGGUAGUGGAAUGUGUAUGCUUAACUCUCGUUGAGAGUGUUUAUGCCAAACCCAGUUAUUUGGGUAGUGGAAUGUGUAUGCUUAACUCUCGUUGAGAGUGUUUAUGCCAAACCCAGUUAUUUGGGUAGUGGAAUGUGUAUGCUUAACUCUCGUUGAGAGUGUUUAUGCCAAACCCAGUUAUUUGGGUAGUGGAAUGUGUAUGCUUAACUCUCGUUGAGAGUGUUUAUGCCAAACCCAGUUAUUUGGGUAGUGGAAUGUGUAUGCUUAACUCUCGUUGAGAGUGUUUAUGCCAAACCCAGUUAUUUGGGUAGUGGAAUAUCUAUGCUUAACUCUCGUUGAGAGUGUUUAUGCCGAAACCCAAUUAUUUGGGUAGUCGAAUGUGUAUGCUUAACUCUCAUUGAGAGCGAUUAUGCCGAACCCCAUUUACUUGGGUAGUUGAAUGUGUAAGAAAGAAGAAAGCUCCUAUAUGAAUAGAACUAAAAUGAAGUAAUUAUGAUUCGACAACUAAGAUGACUAACCUUAAAACCUUGUUGCUGAAGGUAGGUAAAACUCUAAGUUUUUGUUAAACACAU
rnacentral:lncRNA from 1 species